rnacentral:rRNA from 1 species
UAUUUCCUACGGGAGGCAGCAGUGGGGAAUAUUGCACAAUGGGGGAAACCCUGAUGCAGCGACGCCGCGUGAGUGAAGAAGUAUUUCGGUAUGUAAAGCUCCAUCAGCAGGGAAGAAAAUGACGGUACCUGACUAAGAAGCCCCGGCUAACUACGUGCCAGCAGCCGCGGUAAUACGUAGGGGGCAAGCGUUAUCCGGAUUUACUGGGUGUAAAGGGAGCGUAGACGGCAGCGCAAGUCUGAAGUGAAAGCCCGGGGCUCAACCCCGGGACUGCUUUGGAAA